AUGAAGACAAGGAAGUUGUAUAUCAACCGGCAAGAGGUUUUCCAAAAGGCAGUCUACAGGGGAACACAGAGGAGCCCCCAUGUCUACAGGGAGCACAGAGGAGCCCCAUGUCUACAGGGAGCACAGAGGAGCCCCAUGUCUACAGGCGUCUACAGAGGAGCCCCAUGUCUACAGGGGAGCACAGAGGAUUCCCAUGUCUACAGGGGAGCACAGAGGAGCCCCCAUGUCCACAGGGGAGCACAGAGGAGCCCCAUGUCUACAGGGGAGCACAGAGGAGCCCCAUGUCUACAGGGAACACAGAGGAGCCCCCAUGUCCACAGGGGAGCACAGAGGAGCCCCAUGUCUACAGGGGAGCACAGAGGAGCCCCAUGUCUACAGGGGAGCACAGAGGAGCCCCCAUGUCCACAGGGAGCACAGAGGAGCCCCCAUGUCCACAGGUCACAACACUCUCCCGAGCCCGCUGAAGACAUAUUGCAUGUCUGCCUCCAAACAGAGCUGAUAACUCUCUAUUUUGACAAGCUCCUCAGAUGUGUAUGGUACCGACUGAAACUCCUGUAA
rnacentral:lncRNA from 1 species